rnacentral:lncRNA from 1 species
GCUAUAUGAAUCCUCGCCCUGCAGUAGAAACGCAUCACACAACGAUGUAUGCUAUUGAAGAACAAACACAGCAUGACAUAUCGCAAGAUAAAAUCAGCAGUUUCAAUACAACUUUUAGAUUAAAAAAUCACUUGAAAUGUUCAUUUCUUGAAGCCUCAACAUGAAAUAGACAAUAACUGAAUAUGUUCACUUUCAUAGCUUUCUAUCAUUUAAUCAAUUAGAAACUUUAAAUUAUAACAGACCAAAACUAAAUUUAGCACAGGACCAAAACUGCACACCUAAAAAAACAAGUUCACAGUAUCAUUAUUAUUACACACAAAAUUGAUGAAAAGGUGAACAAUAAUACUAUAGUUAAAAUAAUAUUAUAUCACUAACCUCGUAUAUGAAGAAGAAAGAACUACGAUACAAUUUUCUUGGGAGCAAGGUUCUUCAUCAAUUUAAGAAAAAAAUCAUCUCCAUUUUGUUCCUCCGCUUGAUCAAUUGGCACCGAAGAAGUUGCAAAAUCUGCUGAUAAUCCCUUUUGGCGCAUUUCUUCCAUGAAUGAUGUUGCCAUGUGAAGCUCAUUUUGGUUUAGCAAAC